CCAUACAUAAACGCUGGUAAUUUCCCAAAUUAAUUAAUUAUAGACUGAUGGCACAUCAAAUAUAAACUCAUCAAAGUUUGGUAAAUAGAUAUAAUAAAUACAUCUAAAAAUCUAACAGGGCUCUAAACUCAACCAACCAUUGGAGAAAUUUGAGGAGUUACCAAAAUACAAUUAAUAAGCUAAAUCUUCACCAUUUAUGGUAAUUUCACCCAACUAAAAAUGGAUUGUUUUCAUGCACUAUAUUUUAUUCAUAUAACAGCAAAGAAAAAAAAAAACUUGUCUCAACUAAGAUUAGAAAAUAAAACUUGAAAAGAAAAUCUGACUUUCAAAAAAGAACUUGAAAAUUGAACUACUUUCAUCAGCAUAGAAUCCUUCUUCGAUAUGUAUUUUUCAAAAAAAAAAAAACUUUUUUUCUAACUUUCUUCAAUCAUCAACCAAAAAAAUAGGAUUCACAGCCAUCAAAAUCAAGCUUAUCUUAUACAGAAAAAUGAUAAUAAAAAAUUAACAAGAAAGCAAAAUCUAGGUAAAAAAAAAAAAAAGAAAAUCUAGAGCAGGCCUUCCAUAACAGCUGAAGAACAGCAAAAUCAAACGUAAGAUCUAAAGAAAAGCAAAAGACAAUAACACAUUAGCACCUCUUAGUCUAUGGUAAGCAGCAGCAAACUCGAGUUUCGAAAGGGAAAACGCAUGACCCAGAUGUAAAAAACCAUUCAUAUACGGAAAAGGAAAGUUCCCAAAUGAAUUUUUCACCUGGUUGAGGAGGUUUUUCACAAGGCUCUGCCUUAAACACAUCUUUUUCUUCCCACCAAACUCUAACUUUUGACUUAAUUUCCAGUAGCUUAUCUCUCCUUGCAUAGCUCUUGCCUCCCUCAGCUGCCAUCUCGUGAAACUGGUGGAAAAUGUUUAAAAAAAUUCAUAAAAAUGAAACAGAAAGAAAAUGAAAAAAAAAAAAAGGAAUGGAAAAAUCUUUGAAAAUGUAAGUGCCUCAGUCUAUUGAGGAAGAUGGCGUUGAGCCUACGGGCGGGCUCUUGAGAUCGAAGAAUCUUGGCUGAGUGGCGGCGGUAACAGAGCAAAUGAGUUGAAAUGAGCGAGGAUAUAGAGAAAAGAGGGAGAGUGCGUUGAGUUUAAGGUAACAAAGCAAAUGGGUCGAAAUAGAGAGAUGAUGAAGAGAAGAAAAGAGGGAGACUGCGUUGAGUUCAAUUUUCGGUUACAGUUUACUGGGCUAGAUUUUUCAUUCGUUUGUUAUUACAGGUUUUUAGGGUUUUAAUAAUUAUUGAUUUUAAAUUAAAUAGGCCUGCCCCAACAUUUAUUAAUAGAUGAAGAAACUCAAACUGCUAAGAGAAGGACAUGGCCCAAUUUCUACGACUUUUUCUCCUGGCUAGUGGCUGAGAAACCAAAGCCCAAUUACGGGUGGCAAAUUUUAUAGUCUGAUUUAUGGAAUAUAAUAUAAGAAUGAUAGUAUUAAAAUAUUUUAUUAGUUUUUUUUUCUUAAAAAGAGAUGUUUGAUUAGUUAAAAAUAUGUAAAAGAAUAUAUUAGGAAUGAGUACAAAAUAUGAUUUUACCUUUUUACUAAAAAACUUUAAUUAAUAUUUUUUAAACUUUUAAGUACAUCGUUUUAUAUUAAUGAGAAAAUACUUUUUUUUAUAAAAAUUACAUUUUAAUAAGAAUUUCAAUUUUUUAUUUUGUUUUAUUUUUUUAUUUUGUUUCCUAUUGUUGAAUUUGAUUUUGAUAUAAUUUCAAUGGCUUUCAGUUGCUGAAAUGUCGAUUUUGGGAUUAUAGCAAACAGAUAUGUUACUAACACACCAAAUUAAGACUGUCCACAAUCAUAUAUUGGACUUCGAUGAGCUAGAUCUGUGAUUCAAUGACCUAAUCUGAAUCCAACAAGUCAAAUCGUUAUUACCAGUGAUCGAUUCUAGUUGCUGGCACUAGAUCCACACUGCCAACCAAUUUUGGUUGUUGAUAUUAUGGUGAAUAAUGAUUUUGAUGAAAUUGAAUUGGCUUGGGUUUGGUGAUUUUAGACAAUGAAUAAAUUAUAAAUUUUUAGAAUUUAAUUGAAUUUUUAUAUUAAUUAAUUUAAAUAAAAUUUUAUUGAUUUAAUUUAUUAUUUUUAAAAUUUUUUAUAUAUUUAAAUAAAUUUAGAUAAAAAUAAUUAUUUUUAUUUUAUAACAAUUUAAAAAAUAUUUAAAUUAAUAAAAAUAUAUAAUUUAAUUCGAUUUAAUUUUUUUAAUUGUUCACUUUUUAAUUUAAAAUUUAAUUUAAAUAUAAUAUAUAUUUAAAAUUAAAAUUUAAUUAUAAUAAAAUAAAAAAUUAAUUUAAAUUAAAUCAAAUAUUAUUAUUUUGAAUAAUUUUUAAUUUUUUUAAAAAAUUUUUCUUAUCCUUAAUACUCGAUCGGUGCUCAAAUAGUCGAAAAUCCCAUAUUAUCAAAUAAGUUUUGUUGUUGAAAAAACAUGAGAGAGAAAAUAAAUAAUUAAAAUACAAAAUUAAAAUUUUAAAUUUUAUGUCAAAAUAAAAUAAUCAUUAAAUAUUAUUUGACAAGAAUAACGAUUAUCAUGAAAGGGGGCAAUGAUUAUCAUGGAAGCCAGGUCCAAGGAGAAGAGGCUCGAGAGCAGUAAUUGAAUCCAUAAAACCCGUCUCAUACUGUCUCCGUGACUUUUAAAUAGUAUUACAACGUGAUCAGUGCAUAAUAAAUUUUUUUUCUUUCAUAAGUGGGUAAAUGUUCGAAGAAAAAAGACGAUGAAAUUAAAAUUUACGCUCAUAAAUAUAUUUUUUAAAACUUUUUAAUCAUUAAAUUAAGAAAUAAAAAAUUAUCGGUGCAUAAUAAAUGUUUUAAUUAUUAUGUGAAAUUACCAUAAUUAAAUUUUGAUCAAUAAAAUUAAAAAUAAUAUUUUACCACCCGUCUUUAACGACGAAUAGAUAUUUAUUAUAGGAUAACGUAAAAUAGAAGUUACUCAGAAAAAAAAUUAGUUCAAAUGCAAAAAAGAUUGGCGUCUCCCGACACUGGAAGCAACUAUCAAAAAAGAUACAUUUUUUUUCCAAUAGAAAAGACAUCGGUCGAUGCACAAGAUUAGAUAAAGGCAACCACACGAUAAGGGUUACUAGACUUUUCCCAUUGAAAAUAUGGGUCUGCGUUUCAGAGGAAUUUACACUUAUUAGAUUGCUCAAGCUGAUUAUUCACUUCGUAAAUAAACAAGAAAAAUGUGAUGAUUCAACAUUUGAGGCCUUGCAAAUUUGUUUGCAAAGUCUUUUGAAUGCUAAAAAGUUUUUACUCAUCUUAGAUGAUGUGUGAAAUGAAGAUGGUGAGACAUGGAUUAAGUUAAGAAAUUUGUUGAAGUUAAUAGGUAAUUUUUUUCAAAAUAAAAUCAUUGUGACUACUAAAAGUUUGAAGCUUACGAAAAUAUGAGUUCAAUUCACCCUCAUGAAGUGAAUUUUUUUUCAAUAAAGUGGAUUUCAUAACAAUUUAAUUAUAUAUUAUUUUAAAUUUUAAAAUAGAAUUUUUAUUUUUAAAGUUUUUUUCUCAAAUAUUAUAUACAUUAAAAAAUCAUAAUUUAUUUUUUAACUAUAUUUUUAAUAUUAAUUUAAUUCUAUUACUUAAAAUUUAAAAUUAUUUUAUUUUAAUUUUUACAAUAACACAAUUUUAUAUCAAACGUAAAGUUUAAAACAAAUAUAAAAAUUAAGUUGACAAAUCUUAUGCAUGUGCUAAAACUCGUGCAAUUAUGAAUAAGUUAUCAUGUAUAUUAUUUAAACAUUUGAAAUUAUUUUUUAAAAUAAAUAAAACUUAUUUUAUGAGAUAUUUUAUUUUUUAAAAAAUAUUAUUAUACGUUUUGAAAUUUUGAAAUUUUGAAUUAAAAAUUAUUAUUUUUUAUAUUUAGUUAUAUUAUUUAUAAUUUAUAUAUUAAACAUAUAAAUGGUUAAAUAAUAUUAGUUUAUAUAUUUAAAUAUAUUUAAAUAAAUAAAAAUAAUUUGUAUGUCAUACGAAUAAAAAUAUAAUUAAAUAAAUAAUUUAAUUGAUAUUGAUCAAUCUAAUGUAAUCUAAUAAAGUCAUUGCCAUACUUUUAAUGUGGAAAAAAAAUCAGAUAAGUUUGCAAAUAUCUUGUCGUAAAACUAGGGACGGCAAUCAAUCCCAUCCCCAACGGGUUUCGACUCGACCCGAUCAUAUGAGGUUGGAUUUUUUUUUUUUAAUUUCGAUUUUCGGGUGGGGUAUAGUUAGGGAAUAGUCGGGUUGGGUCGGGUCGGACAUGCAUAAAACCCGACUCGAUAUUAUAUAAAAAAUUAUUUAAUUAAUUAAUUAAUUAAUUAUAUAUAUUUAUAUAAUGAUAUUUUUAAAUAUUUAUAUUCAAAAAAUAAUAUUUUAUUAAUUUGAAUCGGAUCGAAUCGAAUAUGAUUUACAUCAUAUCAAGUCAAAGUUAAAUUCAAAUUCAGAUAUUAAAAAAAUCGAAUCGAAUUGAGUUCAGAUAUGUUAAAACAUAAAAUUAGGUCAGAUUCGAGGUGAACAAAAUCCACUUCGAAUCUGACCCGAUAUCAUCCCUACGUAAAACACACAACACUAGAGCAUCAAUAAUUUUCUCAUCCCAAUAAGUUAGUAGAAGUAAGAUACAAUUUGUUUUGUCUUCUCUCUUAUCUUAUUGGCUGUUAUGUCAACAAAAGUUCACGUAAAUUUCAAUGACUAAGCCAAUAAACAUUCAACAUACAUGGAUAGAUACAGAUAGAAUAUGUUUUUCAUUUUUUUAUGAAAGAAGUUACAAUUUUAAAUAAAAUUUUUAAAUUAAAAUUAAAAUUUUAAAUUUAUUAAAAAUUAUAUUUUAACAAUAAUUAUAUAAAUUAAUUAAAUUAAACUCGUAAUUUUCUUUUUGACCUUUAUAUCUCCAUUAAAGACUUUAAUUUAAAUUUUAAGAUAAUUAAAAAAUUUUUUUUUUUCAAAUGUGAAAGCCUACCUUACUUUAUUGAAAAAAGAAAAGUAAAUAGGGAUGGAACGUGGAGUUUGGAUGCAAACAUUUGUGGCCAAACAGAAAAGCUAGUAUUAUAUAAUGAUUUAGACAGUAAAAUAUGGGUAAUUAUUAUAGUCAGUACAAUUAUUUGAGUAUGCAAUUGGGUGUGUGAAAUACUAAAUUGACGUCAUUCAUUAUGUCAGUAAGUAGCUUUAUAAGUAUCUGUCACAUUUCAAUUAUAAAUUUAUACACACAAAUGGUCAAAGUGAUCAAAUUUUAAAUUUUCGUUUAAUUUAUUAUAAUUUAAAUUUUAUUUAAGAGAUAUUUAAUUUACAAAAUUUUAAAUUUUAAAAAAGGUAUGAUAUUUGAAAAAAUAUAACUAUAGAGAAAACAUGAUUUUUCAUGAUAUUUAAUUUUUAAAUUUAUGUUUGAUUCAAAAAAAUCUCAUAUUUUUUAAUAAUAUAUUUUUAUUAUAAUAUCUUUUACUCCAUAAUAAACAUAAUAAUUUAUCAAAUAAAGAAAAAUAUAACAAAUGCAUUUUGAAUCGUAAAAAUGCAUUAUUCUAAUGAUCAAUUAUAAGAAAAAAUUAAUUAUCAAUUAUUAUGUUAAUUUUAUAAAAUAAUUAAUUAUACACAUAUUUUUAAAAAAUUACAAAAAAUAAUUACUGCAUUUAACUUAAAAAACACAAUAAUUAAUUAAUUUUUAAAAAAUAUAAUAUACAAUUACUAUUUUUAUCUUAAAAAAAUAUAUUUUUUAUGAUUUUAAAUAAAUGAUAAUGACAACAAUUACUGUGGCACAAGGGUCCACUUUUUUGUCUUUUCUUUUACUUGUCACUGUGUCUUUCAACGGAGCAAAACUUUAUUACUUGAUUAUUUGUCACGUGGGUUCUUGUAAUAGUGCUUUGAAACAAGCACCCCGGUGCCUACAGUCUUGUUUAUCAAUUGGAUUUCUUUACUUUUAAUUCUAUGCUGUCAUUUUUCAAAUAUUGCUUUUCGUGUAGCAGAAGUGUAGUAAAUGAUAAUAAAAAUUGUAUUUUAAAAUCUAUAAAUGUAAUUAUUAUAUGAAAAAAAUUUAAAAAAAUUUUAAGUUAUCAAAUACUGUAAUUUUAUUUUAAAAAAUGUAAUAAAUUAUAAUAAAUAUUACGUUGCAGCCUACAAAAUACAAUAUUUAAGUAAAAAAAUAGGUAGAAAAAUUAACCAAUUGUUAAAUACUUCGUAUUUGUUUAAAGAAAUGCAAUAAAUAAUUAUAAUUAAUAUGUUUUAAAACCUAUAAACAUAAUGUUUGAAUGAAAAAAAUAAAAAAAAAUUUAGACAAAAAUAAUCACUAUUGUUGCUUUUGGUUUCAUAUAAACGUUAUAUUUAACAUUAAAAAAAAUUCAAAUAUUAUGUUAAAUAUUCCAAAAAUAAUAAUAUUUAUAAUAUUUGGUUUCAAUUUAAUUGUAUGUAAAAAAAAUUUAAAUUUCAUUGUAAUUGUUGAUUUUCAAAAGGGUAAAAUAGACGAAAGUAAUUUUUUAUUCAGAUUAAAUGUAGGAUAAAAGUUUUUUUUUUUCAAAAUCUUAAACAAUCAUAAGGAGACGUUGAUUUUUUAUUUCAAAACUUUUGAUACAAUUAAAAAUCUAAAAUUACCCCCCAUGAAUAAGAUACCCCAAAUCAAAUGUAUGAUUUUUCUGUCUUGCCUCCACCUACACUGCUUUCUUUCUUUUUCUUUUCUCCUUGUCCAGUUUCUGGUUUUUCACUCCCCGGAAGCAUCUCAUCUAUCUUUUUCCAAGGCAACUUCGAUAUAUUGCUUAAAACAAAUUAAUUUUUGAGUGCUUCAUUGCCUUUCUUUUUCGUUUCCCUGCUCCUAGACUUCAAUUAUGGCAGAAUCAUUUGUCUUCAAUAUUGCAGAAAGAGUUCUGGAGAAAAUAGCCCAUCUCGCUGUAGAAGAACUUCGUUUGGCGUUUAAUGUCAAAAGCGAUUUGAAAAAGCUCGAGGAGACCAUGAGCGGCAUUAAAGAUGUGCUUUUGGAUGCUGAGAGGCAGCAGCACCAGAAUAAAAAGUUGAGCCGUUGUUUGUGGAAGCUCAGAGACAUCUUUUAUGAUGCUGAAGAUGUGCUUGAUGAAUUCCACUGUGAAGCUCUACGGAAACAGGUCGUAAAUCAUCCAGGCAUCAGCACAAAGGUACGAUUUUUGGCUUCAUGCUCUUUCCCACUUUCAUUCUCUUUAAAAGUGGGUCAUAAAAUCAGAGAGAUCCAUCAGAGGUUAGACGAACUUGACACUGAGUGGAAGAGCUUUAAUCUAGGACAGGGUGGCGAUAACCGACAUGUUAUUCACAGGGAGACUCACUCUUUUGUGAAUUCUUCUGAUGUCAUUGGUAGAGAUGUGGAUAAAGAGAACAUCAUCACCCUUUUGAUGAAACCAAGUGAGGCUGGAGACAUCUCUGUCAUUCCCAUUGUUGGAAUUGGGGGUCUAGGGAAAACCACACUCGCUCAACUCGUAUACAAUGAUGAUCGGGUUGCUGAACUUUUCCUGAGAAUAUGGGUCUGUGUUUCAGAGGAAUUUAAUCUUACUAGAUUGCUCAAGCUGGUUAUUCACUCCAUAAAUAGAGAAGUAAAAUGUGAUGAUUCAACACUUGAGGCCUUGCAAACUUGUUUGCGAAGUCUUUUGAAUGAUAAGAAGUUUUUGCUUAUCCUAGAUGACGUGUGGAAUGAAGAUCGUGGGAGAUGGAUUGAGUUAAGAGAUUUAUUGAAGUCAAUGGGUGACUUUUCUCAAAGUAAAAUCAUUGUGACUACUCGGAGUCGGGAGGUUGCCAAAAUAAUGAGUUCAAUUCACCCUUAUGAAUUGCAUGGUCUCCCUCAUGACGAAUGUUUGACUUUGUUUGCAAAAUGGGCAUUUAAUGAUGGUGAUGAGAGACAGCAUCCAAAUCUGAUGAGAAUAGGAGAAGAAAUUGUAAAGAAAUGCAAAGGGGUUCCAUUGGCAGUGAGGACAUUGGGGAGCUUGCUUUUUUCAAAAACUGAUGAAUCCGAAUGGAUCUCUGUUAGAGAUGAUGAAAUUUGGAGACUUAAGCAAAGUGAUAAUGAUAUUUUACCAGUGUUGAAGUUGAGUUACAACCAUUUGCCAUCUCAUUUGCAACGAUGUUUUGCCUUUUUGUCCUUGUACCCAAAGGAUGAAAUCUAUGCUAGUGAUGAUGUCAUCCAAUUUUGGAUGGCAAAUGGACUGCUUGAGUAUUCAAAGCAAAAGCAAGAGCCGGAGGAUGUUGGCAGGCGAUAUUUGAAUGAGUUACUGUCAAGGUGCCUCAUCCAGAAGGAUGAAGAUUUGUUCUUCGGUUUUGCCUUUAAAAUGCAUGAUUUGAUCCAUGAUCUUGCAUUAGAGGUGUCACAAAAAGAGUGUAAAACAGUGAAUUACCAAACAGAAAAUGUUGACGAAAAAAUUCGACAUUUAUCAUUUUGUGAGGAGAAGCUGCUAAAAGUUCCGCAAAAUUUGAAGAAAUUAAAAAAUGUUCGAACGGUAAUUGCACAAAAGUUUUCAGAGGGACCAAAUACUAUUAAUGACACUUUUAUCAGUUUCUGUGUCUCAAAUUUCAAGUAUCUACGGGCACUUAAAUUAAGGUCUUCAUCAUUGGAAGCCUUACCAAAUUCCAUUGGUACCUUGAAGCACUUACGAUACCUCAACUUGGAUGGAUGUCGUAAAAUAAGGAAACUUCCUAGUUCUUUCUAUAAGUUACAGAGCUUGCUAAAGUUAGCAAUGUUGACUGUUCCUUUGAUGCAGUUGCCUGACAGCGUGCAAAGCUUGAUUGAGCUUAGACAUCUAGAAAUAACUAUUGAAGCUAAGCAUUGGAAAGAAAUUAAACCAGGAUGUUGGAGUUCUCUUCAAUACUUACACUUGUUUUACUGUGAAAAUUUAGAAUGCUUAUUUGAAGGAAUGCAGUGCCUCACAUCACUUCGAACACUUCAUCUGGAUUUUUGUCCUAAGCUUGUCUCAUUGCCACGAAGCCUGAAAUUUCUAACCAAAUUAGAAGACCUUGUUAUAACCAGUUGCUUUAAAAUCAAUUUACAAAUGGAACCGGAAGAGGAAGAAGACAAAGACCUUCACUUGAGCCUUAAAACUUUCAGAGUAUGGGAGUUAUUUGCAUUGACAUAUUUGCCACGAUUGCUUCUCGAAGGAUCUUCUACCACCUUGCAGCAUAUACAAAUUGGCGCCUGUGACAAGUUUGAGGUACUACCAGCGUGGCUACAAAAUCUCACAUCACUUCAUAAACUUGAGAUCACUUAUUGCCCAAAUUUGUUAUCUCUUCCGGAGGGAAUGGAUCGCCUCACUGAACUUAGACAACUAAAAAUUGAAAGAUGUCCGGUCUUGAGCAAAAGAUGCCGAAGAGAUGGGGGUGCAGAUUGGCACAAAAUUGCACAUGUCCAAGAGGUUGAUGUCAUAGAUAAUUAGAGGUACAUAGUAAAUGUUGAAAUUCUCUAUCAGAUUUUAUUUGCUCUUAUCUCUCUAUCUCGUUUUGCUUCUUUCAAUCUUCACCAGAGGCCUUUUCUUCUCUUUCUUUAAAAACUUGUUGUACAUUGACAAUAAGAAUUUAGAGUGUCCUAUGUUAUUAAGGUUGUUACAUAAAACUUCUUUUUGCCUUUAAUAUCUUCUAAAGCUAACUGCUUUUAAUUGGAAAAUUUUUUUGUUUCAAGUACUGCAGGUACAUAAUUUGGAGCUAGCUUCCACACAGAAUAACGAAGGUGAGCUUUCAUUUACUGCCAUAACAAUCUACUUUAACUAUUAUAAUUAGAGAAAUUAUUCCAUCCGCUGAGAUUUUAGACUUUGUAAGCGGGGUUAGUAAGAUGACACAUAUAUAUUACACAUUUCGUCGAAAACUUUCAAAUCUUUUCCAGAUUUUUUUUUCUACAUACAGCAACAAAACUCAAUGUUUAAGUAGAGUAUUUAAAAAAUAUAAUCUAUCACUCUUUUAGACUUGCAUUUUGUUGCAACCAUUGUUAUUUAGAAUUUCUGUGAAAUUAUAAAACAAAAGGGCCAAAAAUGAUAAUAUUUGAACACAAAUUAAGAAUACAAAAUUUCUUUAGCUUUAGAACAUUUUCAACCAAGAUAAUUUUUCUUUGUUAUUUACUUUUUUUUAUGGAGUAGCAAUUUUUAUCAUGGACCUAUAUAAUUCUAAUCAUUUUAAUUUUGUUAUGAAACAUUUAUAUAUUGUUUUAUCUGAUUUUCUAUUUAUUUGGUAAUUAAUUAUCAGCUCUCUUUAUUAAGUACUCAUUUCAAUUUUUAACCGUUGCAUGCAGCAGCCAGCAGAUCUCAUGAUGGAUGAAUCAGCCAAAGCUUGCAGGCCGUGGAAGCUUUUACCUUGUUUGUUUGCAUUAGAUUUCAAGUUGUGGAUUGUAAUUCUAAAAUAUGUGUGAGCUUUUUACUUUGUUUUGCUUCAGAUUUCGAAGUCAUGCUUGAUGGUUAUAGAUUGUAAGUUUAAUUUGUAACAUUUGUUGAUGUCUUGCACCUAAACUCCUGUGUUUGUUUUGUUGUUUGCACACUCUACUUAAGCUAUUUAUUCGAGUGUUCUGUUUGCCUGCCACUCUUGUUGGAACCCUUGAGAUUAAUGACUUAUUUUGUUUUUAUACAAUAUGAUUUGAAUUAUACCAAGUGAAGUUAAGUCUCAGUGACAUUGGUUAUCAUGAUUUUGUUGUAAAAUUUAUAAUGAUCAACAUUACAGGAUUAUCUUAAUAGAUUCACCCCAAAGUCAAUUUUAAGUUUUUUUGAUUGGGCAUAAUAACUUUGUCAGGACUAAGCUACACAUUUCAUAUUAUUCUCAAAUAAUAAAAAGUUAUUUUGACAAUUUAAAAAUAAAUUACUAUAGUUUCAACACAAAAAUUAAUAUCCCAAAUUAACUCAAUUUAGUUUCUAGAUUGCAUAUUAAUUUGAUUUAAUUCUCAUUUCUAGAUAUCGGCAAUGAACUUCUUAUUUAGGUAGGCACCAUCCUGAACCGCUGUGAUGCUUUGGGCAUUGGCCUCUUCCACAGUGAUUCCAAAUUCUUCCUCAAGUCCCAUCACAAUCUUAACCUGAAAAGGAAUUCCACCGAUUACAACACGAACUACAAGCAAAAACCUUCUAGUUAAAAACAACAAAUUGGCAUAAGGUAAAACAAUGCAAGGUAAAGUGGGAGAGAGUUUAGAGUUGGCGAAGAAGUAACAAAAACAAUGUUAGUAGCCAACAAGCAACAAGGGAACUCAAAAGGUGAGGGGAGAGAGGGCUUCAAGCUGUAGGAAGAACCAAAAGGACAACUUUAUUAUGUUUGCCAAAAUGCUUGGCCCAGAAAUGCCCCAUGUUGUGCCCUCCACUAAUGUUCCCUCCACCAACCUUGGUCCUUUAAAGGAAGAAGCACAACCUUAAAGUACAUUGUAGAGUGGACAUGCUGCUUUUGCACAAAACCUAGAGUUGUCAGGAAAGCUAAGAUAGAAGAGUGGCAUGGCCCAUCUUGAUAAAGAAAAUUACGGUUGGUUUGUGAAAAAGGGAUAAUCCCAAGAAUAAAUACAUAGACCUAGGCAUCUAAAACAAAUAGAUAGGAAAAAAUUCAUCAAACUCAAACAAAUGCUUGCUCUCCUUGAUCAUGCACACUUGUUUUACCCAAAUAAGAUGAAAAGGCAAAAGGAACAAAAACCUAACAUUCAGAGUGUACCAUAUCAAGAGAAUCAGCUACAAGAUCAGCAAAUUUGAUUCACCAGUGACUGGUUGGUCAUUUGCUAUAGCUAGUUGUUUCCUUACUAAAUCACAUACCUUACCCAUAGUCUCUGGUUUGGCCUGCCCAAUGACAUUUAAAACAGGCAUCAACAUUAUGUUAUUAAUCAAAAGUAUAACUGUCAUUUCUACAUAAAUGCCUAGAUCAUAACUAGCAUAUUUACAACCAACCCUGCAUAUGAUGCACAAGAAAUGCCUAUACUGCUGAAUAUAUAAAUUGGUAACUAAAAUGAAGUAACAAUUAUAAAUGAUCAAACUUUAUAGUGGCCCUAAUAUCAUUAAUCCAUUUCAUAGUUCUUGGUGGAUACUUAAGUAAGCUUAAGUACAAGCAUUACAAAUACUUAUUGAGUAUAUUAUUAAGCAUUCCAUUUCAUAGCUCGGCUAAUCUGCAUAGACAAAAGCAUGAGCCAUAAGGGUAUUAGUAUUUUAAUUUGAUUUUUCUCUCACAGCCGGGAAGCUAAGAUUGUUGGCAGGCCAGGAAGAUAAGAUUGUUGGGAGGGGAACCAAUUCAGGAAGUCAAUCACUUACUAAGUAGUGUUCCUAGCAUAGGCAAGACUAAGCAUAAAAGAAGUAAACAACUUAAACAGACUCAAAAUUUUGUAACUAUUACCCUUGCCAAGGUCAUCACGAUCUGCAUGGACAACAACAGCUCGUCCGAUAAAUGGAGUAUAGCCUAGCGAGAGGAAUCUGCCAAAGUAUGAAACAAUAACUUUCAGAAAUGGCCUUAAGCUGAUCAAAUGUAAGCAGAGGAAUAAGGAGUUGAGCAAAAACUUGUUUGUCAAUGAUAGAGAAACUAUCACAGUCUGGACCACACAAAUAAAAUUAACAGUGUUAACAAUACAAGAAACAAAAACACCAAACAGCAUACAACAUACAACUGAAAAAAGUUGAAACAAAAAAGAAGAGAAAAGAAAAGAAAACCUAAUAUAAAUAUUCUGAAACUGUUAGCAAUGAACUAGAAAGCCUAUAGUCAUUUACAGAAGGCAAAUAUUCAUAACAUCAUCACCAACAGUGAUAUUCCUUGAUCACCAGUAUGGCACUUCUCUUCUUCUGGGGUACCAUGCUCUUUGCCGGCAGGAUUAAAGUGGGGGGCUGCAAAGAGAUUAAUCACAAGGUAAAAAUCUCCAAAACAAUUACAUCCAAAGACAAAAGAAAUCAAUAAAGCCAACCUACUGUCAUUCCUUUUUCUUUUUUUUUUUUUCAUUUCCUUCCAACUUCAAAGAAAAAGGAAAAACAAAUCCAACUUUCAGACUUUUACCUGUUGACAUGCAACCAUUUGUUGUGUCCCCAAGGGCAUGAACAUGGAAUCCAUGGAGCAAAGGCUUAGGACCAGAAGUUCCCAGUCACAGAAGUUGGACCUAAAAAGGGCAGAAAGGAUUAAAUAACUUUGACAUAAAAGACAGAAAUACAGAGACCAAGAAGUCUUAUCAGGCUUGUGAUUUACCAUCUCCCACUUGAAAGAAGAAAACAGUUCCACUAACACCUUCACUUUUGCUAAGGACCGCUACUGCCUCCACCAUUUUUCCAUGUGAUCUACACUACACAAUGUUAGAUAUGCCAGCAAAUAAUUUUACCUCAAUGAAAGAUAUCUUUGAUAGCAACAUUAAAAACAAUGGAAGAAAAGGCUCAAAAAUCAUAAUCCUGACAGCGUAUAUAAAAUCAAAAGAAAUUCUCUGUUUCACCAGUAACCACAUCACCAAAACAUUUUUAGAAGCCCCAUACAUAAACGCUGGUAAUUUCCCAAAUUAAUUAAUUAUAGACUGAUGGCACAUCAAAUAUAAACUCAUCAAAGUUUGGUAAAUAGAUAUAAUAAAUACAUCUAAAAAUCUAACAGGGCUCUAAACUCAACCAACCAUUGGAGAAAUUUAAGGAGUUACCAAAAUACAAUUAAUAAGCUAAAUCUUCACCAUUUAAGGUAAUUUCGCCCAACUAAAAAUGGAUUGUUUUGAUGCACUAUAUUUUAUUCAUAUAACAGCAAAGAAAAAAAAAAACUUCUCUCAACUAAGAUUAGAAAAUAAAACUUGAAAAGAAAAUCUGACUUUCAAAAAAGAACUUGAAAAUUGAACUACUUUCUUCAGCAUAGAAUCCUUCUUCGAUAUGUAUUUUUCAAAAAAAAAAAAACUUUUUUUUUAACUUUCUUCAAUCAUCAACCAAAAAAAUAGGAUUCACAGCCAUCAAAAUCAAGCUUAUGUUAGACAGAAAAAUGAUAAUAAAAAAUUAACAAGAAAGCAAAAUCUAGGUAAAAAAAUAUAUAUAUCUAGAGCAGACCUUCCAUAACAGCUGAAGAAGAGCAAAAUCAAACGUAAGAUCUAGAGAAAAGCAAAAGGCAAUAACACAUUAGCACCUCUUAGUCUAUGGUAAGCAGCAGCAAACUCGAGUUUCGAAAGCGAAAACGCAUGACCCAGAUGUAAAAAACCAUUCAUAUACGGGAAAGGAAAGCUCCCAAAGAAUUUUUCACCUGGUUGAGGAGGUUUUUCACAAGGCUCAGCCUUAAACACAUAUUUUUCUUCCCACAAAACUCUAACCUUUGACUCGAU
rnacentral:lncRNA from 1 species